GAUGAACGUUGGCGGCGUGCCUAAUACAUGCAAGUCGAACGCGAAGCUUGAUUUCGGUCGAGCGGAGAGUGGCGCACGGGUGAGUAACACAUGGCUGACCUGCCCUUCAGAGGGGGACAACCACUGGAAACGGUGGCUAAUACCCCAUAUGCUCACGGUGUUUAGAAGGCUGUGAGGAAAAGUUCCGGCGCUGAAGGAGGGGGCUGUGGCCCAUCAGCUAGUUGGUGCGGUAAUGGCGCACCAAGGCAGAGACGGGUAGGGGGCCUGAGAGGGUGACCCCCCACACGGGUACUGAGAUACGGACCCGACUCCUACGGGAGGCUG
rnacentral:rRNA from 1 species